UCCCUGGUGGCUCAGAUGGUAAAGCGUCUGCCUGCAAUGCAGGAGACCCAGGUUCAAUCCCUGGGUUGGGAA
rfam:TPA: Bos taurus chromosome 3, whole genome shotgun sequence.